GAUUAAUAGGGACAGUUGGGGGUAUUCGUAUUCAGUUGUCAGAGGUGAAAUUCUUGGAUUUAUGAAAGAUUAACUUCUGCGAAAGCAUCUGCCAAGGAUGUUUUCAUUAA
rnacentral:rRNA from 1 species